UCUUAUGGAUGAACAAAGAAAGUGGUUUCUUGAGAUAGAACCAACUCUUGGUGAAAAUGCCAUGAA
rnacentral:pre_miRNA from 1 species